rnacentral:rRNA from 1 species
CAGUCGCCGCGGUAAUACGUAGGUGGCAAGCGUUGUCCGGAAUUAUUGGGCGUAAAGGGCUCGCAGGCGGUUUCUUAAGUCUGAUGUGAAAGCCCCCGGCUCAACCGGGGAGGGUCAUUGGAAACUGGGAAACCUGAGUGCAGAAGAGGAGAGUGGAAUUCCACGUGUAGCGGUGAAAUGCGUAGAGAUGUGGAGGAACACCAGUGGCGAAGGCGACUCUCUGGUCAGUAACUGACGCUGAGGAGCGAAAGCGUGGGGAGCGAACAGGAUUAGAUACCCCCGUAGUCCUGUCUCUUAUACA